rnacentral:sRNA from 1 species
CUCUUUUGGGGUUCUUCCUUUCUCUCUCAGCUCUCCGUCUCUCUUUCUCUCUCAGCCUCUGUCUUUCUCCCUGUCUCCCCCACUGUCAGCACCUCUUCUGUGUGGUGAGUGGACCGCUUACCCCACUAGGUGAAGAUGUCAGCCCAGGAGAGCUGCCUCAGCCUCAUCAAGUACUUCCUCUUCGUUUUCAACCUCUUCUUCUUUGUGAGUUGCCUUAUGGCUACCCAGCCGGGGCCCAGCCCCUGCCGCUAACCCAGCCCUCAUCUUCCCCCGUGGCCCACCCCCGUAUCCGCAUCUCCUCUCCCCAGGUCCUCGGCAGCCUGAUCUUCUGCUUCGGCAUCUGGAUCCUCAUCGACAAGACCAGCUUCGUGUCCUUUGUGGGCUUGGCCUUCGUGCCUCUGCAGAUCUGGUCCAAAGUCCUGGCCAUCUCGGGAAUCUUCACCAUGGGCAUCGCCCUCCUGGGUUGUGUGGGGGCCCUCAAGGAGCUCCGCUGCCUCCUGGGCCUGUAUUUUGGGAUGCUGCUGCUCCUGUUUGCCACACAGAUCACCCUGGGAAUCCUCAUCUCCACUCAGCGGGCCCAGCUGGAGCGAAGCUUGCAGGACGUCGUAGAGGAAACCA